AAGAUGCCAUGGGAACUUCAAGUGGGCCAAAACUCUCAGGAAUGCAGAAGCAAGUGCUUAGUCUCUACCGAGGGUUUCUGCGUGCUGCUCGUUUGAAAUCCCCUGAGGAUCGCCGCCAGAUUGAAUCCAUUGUAUCGGCUGAGUUCCGCCGCAAUUCCCAGCAAGUAGAUCGCAAGAAUUUCCUCUACAUCGAGUAUUUGCUUCGUCG
rnacentral:misc_RNA from 1 species